rnacentral:lncRNA from 1 species
GUGGAAGAGGCAUCAUGCCAAAGAAAGCAAAGAAGAGUUUGGGGAGGACAGAAGAGGAGCGCUUGGUGCAGCUACAGCACAGAGCUCAGACUGAGGAGGAGAUGUCCAAGAAGAAGGAAGAGAUGCUGACACUGUUCCUGAAGGACAAGUUGCAGAAAGAGCAGAAGAACACAGCGGUGAACCUUUUGAAGGUCACCAACCGCUGGAGGUCUAUCCUGCGUGAGGCUCGGGUCGCUGAGCUGCGAGAGAACAUCGCCGUAUUCCAGCAGACGUUUCAGAGGGAGGUGGACGAGCUGGACUUUGUCACUGAGGUGAAUUUUCUCACAGUUCCUCGGCUCCUCCCAUCGUCUGCAUGGAGACUGUGAGUGUACUCGUGUUGCAGAAGCUGGUGGGGGACCUGCAGGGGGCGGAGCGUCAGACCGCGCAGGUGCAGGCCAGUCACCUGCAGCACCUGGACCACCUCCUGGCUCAGGACCUCAAGCGGAUGAGGUUUCUGCACCAGCAUUGGGGAGGAAACCUGCAGGAUACGAGCUCCUCCUUCAGCUCUGAGAAGUAUGUGUUUGAACGCUCAGACACAAAAUCUUUAACAUACUGUAACUUUUCCACCCUUAAGACGAUCAAUGUAAUUCCAGUAGUUGCUCAGCAUCUGACUUGAUGGGGGUGAACACAGCUUUGUCGUAGAUUUGACUUGCAGGUGAUGUUUUGCAGACAACAAAUGUUUGUGCAGUCUGAGGAGCAGCAGGACAAACUCCAGAGCAAAUUGGCGUCUGCAGAUCAGCACCACAAAGACACCAUGCUGGAGAUAAAGAAGAUCUCCACAGACAGAGAGAACUGGUUCUCCAGCUUUUCUGACCCAAAGAACGUUCAAGUGGCAUUAGGAGACAAUCUGCACGAGAGCAUCUCCACCGUCCUGAGAUCUCUGAAGCAAAACAUCAACAGUGUGAAGAAGAACGAGGAGGAGCUGGCUCUUCGGCUGGAUUAUGUCACCCAGCAGCUGGAGAUCACACUGAGACUGAAGAGCAACGCUGAGCACCUGAGAAACCGGCUGAGAGUCAGUGAGAGGGAGAAGGAGUUUAUGGAGGAGAACCUGACCAGCUGCAGGAACCAGAUGAACCUCCGGUUUUACCAAGCCCAGGGUCAGGAGGCACUGGGUCGCCUGGAAACAAAGGAGCAGCUGACCCGGCUCGCAGUGCACGGGGAUGCUGCCGCUGAGAAGCUGCAGGCCACCAUCACCCAGGGAGAGAAGGUGCUGCGAGCCGCCAAGAUGGGCCUCAAGCUGAAGCAUGAAGUUUUACCAGAACUGUUUUCUCCUCUACACCUCCCCCCUGAGGAGCACGCACAGGACUCUGAGGACGAUCCGGACCUGCAGCAGCAUCUCAGCAAAGCUCUGCUGCAGCGGGAAGCUCUGAGGGAAGACAAAGUCGACGUUAGCAGAGAAAACGCGCAGCUCCAGCUGCUGCUGGGUCAGCACGAAUACGGGCUUCUUGAAGACCGCUCCCCGCUGCCCACGUCUCAGGCUCCCAUCGUAUUUUCACCAGCUGCCGGGCAACAGCGCCACACUGUAAUCGAAGCUGCACACAUUGCUAAAUACUGCCUGUGAAAAAAACAGGAGCACAGGUUUGGAUUAUCCUGUCAUUUAUGUCAUGGAAGUGUUGAGAUCCAUGUCACUCUGAUGGUAAAAUAAAACCACUUCUUCAAAUCUGUCCGUGACUCUGUUUAAGUGAAGGCUCUGGGUGACAGAACUUCAAAGGUGGCGGUGCUGAACUGAAUCAGAAUCUGC